rnacentral:rRNA from 1 species
UACGAGGGGGGCAAGCGUUGUUCGGAAUUAUUGGGCGUAAAGGGUGCGUAGGUGGCUUGGUAAGUCAGUGGUGAAAGCCCGGAGCUCAACUCCGGAACUGCCAUUGAUACUGCUUAGCUUGAAUCAGGUCGAGGUGGAUGGAAUAUUACAUGUAGCGGUGAAAUGCUUAGAUAUGUAAUAGAACACCGAUUGCGAAGGCAGUUCACUAGGCCUGUAUUGACACUGAGGCACGAAAGCGUGGGGAUCAAACAGG